rnacentral:rRNA from 1 species
GAUGAACGCUAGCGGGAGGCCUAACACAUGCAAGCCGAGCGGUAGAGUUUCUUCGGAAACUUGAGAGCGGCGCACGGGUGCGUAACACGUGUGCAACCUACCUUUAUCUGGGGGAUAGCCUUUCGAAAGGAAGAUUAAUACCCCAUAAUAUAAUGAUUGGCAUCAAUUAUUAUUGAAAACUCCGGUGGAUAGAGAUGGGCACGCGCAAGAUUAGAUAGUUGGUGAGGUGACGGCUCACCAAGUCAAUGAUCUUUAGGGGUCCUGAGAGGGAGAUCCCCCACACUGGUACUGAGACACGGACCAGACUCCUACGGGAGGCAGCAGUGAGGAAUAUUGGACAAUGGGUGAGAGCCUGAUCCAGCCAUCCCGCGUGAAGGAUGACGGUCCUAUGGAUUGUAAACUUCUUUUGUACAGGGAUAAACCUACCCUCGUGAGGGUAGCUGAAGGUACUGUACGAAUAAGCACCGGCUAACUCCGUG